GGCUCUCCGGUGAAGUUCGUGUUUUGGUGAUUCGGCUCCGGUCAACCUGUAAAGAAAAGAAUGGUGAUCACGGUGAUAUAAAAAUUGCAUUAAAUGGAGGUCGGGAAGGGCCUCAUCGGAGGCAAAAAUCGAGAAGGGGCGCGGCGGCGCCGCUGGCUUUCGGCCCUGUUUUCCGGCCGUUUGGUCGGGAUUUUGGCUCCGAUUUGGCCACUGGGGAAAUCAGCGUGGAAAAACGAGUCGGGGGUAUGAAAUUUACCUCGAUCGGCGGUCGAAAAUCCCUCCGGUGCGGCGGCGGGUGGCGGCGGCCGGCUUCUGGUUCGUCUUCUCCGGCGAGGGCAGGCUGCUAGGGUUUGGGGUCUGGUGUGGGGGUCUUAUUUAUACCCUUUUGCCUUUUGAUCUCAGCCGUCCAUUUUGUUUUAAUCUGGGCCGUCCGUGCGCGCGAUUGAUCUGGGUCGUCCGAUCGCGCGCACGCGGAUCGCCAAUGUGGCCCGUCCCCGGUCGACGUGGUUUUGCCACGUGGCAGGUCCUGGUUGGCCAGGCCUGCUGACUGGGCCUGCUGACGUGGCACGCACGUUUUUUUUUUUUUUUUUUUUUUUUUUUCCUUCUUCAAUUUCCC
rnacentral:lncRNA from 1 species